AGCUGUGCACAGUGGUAGUAUUGUAGCCAAUGAGGUUUAUCUGAAGUGUGAUUAUUGCUAAUUGAAAACUUUAACCUCAUGAGUUUGGCUUCCAUUGAUGGUCCUCAAUGGAAAUAAAUAGUACAUGGUACUUACCA
ensembl:snRNA U4 U4 spliceosomal RNA